UUAAGACAUGCAAGUCGUGCGAGAAAGCUCCUUCGGGAGUGAGUAAAGCGGCGCACGGGUGAGUAACGCGUGGGUAAUCUGCCCUUAGGUUUGGGAUAACCCCGGGAAACCGGAGCUAAUACCGAAUAAGACCACGAUGACCUCGGUUGACGUGAGAAAAGAUGGCCUCUUCUUGAAAGCUAUCGCCAAAGGAUGAGCCCGCGUUUGAUUAGCUUGUUGGUGAGGUAAAGGCUCACCAAGGCUCCGAUCAAUAGCUGGUCUGAGAGGAUGAUCAGCCACACUGGAACUGAGACACGGUCCAGACUCCUACGGGAGGCAGCAGUCGGGAAUAUUGGGCAAUGGGCGAAAGCCUGACCCAGCAACGCCGCGUGAAGGAUGAAGGCCUUCGGGUCGUAAACUUCUGUCGAGAGGGAAGAAAGCGUGCGGGUGAAUAAUCCGUACGUCUGACGGUACCUCCAAAGGAAGCACCGGCUAACUCCGUGCCAGCAGCCGCGGUAAUACGGAGGGUGCAAGCGUUGUUCGGAAUUAUUGGGCGUAAAGCGAGUGUAGGCGGUUUGGCAAGUCGGAUGUGAAAGCCCAGGGCCCAACCCUGGAAUUGCAUCCGAUACUGUCAGGCUAGAGUCCCGGAGAGGGUGGCGGAAUUCCCGGUGUAGGGGUGAAAUCCGUAGAUAUCGGGAGGAACACCAGUGGCGAAGGCGGCCACCUGGACGGUGACUGACGCUGAGACUCGAAAGCGUGGGUAGCAAACAGGAUUAGAUACCCUGGUAGUCCACGCCGUAAACGGUGAGUGCUCGUCGUCGUGGGUAUUGACCCCUGCGGUGACCAAGUUAACGCAUGAAGCACUCCGCCUGGGAAGUACGGUCGCAAGACUAAAACUCAAAGAAAUUGACGGGGGCCCGCACAAGCGGUGGAGCAUGUUGUUUAAUUCGAAGCAACGCGCAGAACCUUACCUGGAUUUGACAUCCUCGGAAUCUCUCUGAAAGGAGAGAGUGCCUUCGGGAGCCGAGAGACAGGUGCUGCAUGGCUGUCGUCAGCUCGUGUCGUGAGGUGUUGGGUUAAGUCCCGCAACGAGCGCAACCCCUAUCGUUAGUUGCUAGCAGUUCGGCUGAGCACUCUAGCGAGACUGCCGGUGUUAAACCGGAGGAAGGUGGGGAUGACGUCAAGUCCUCAUGGCCUUUAUGUCCAGGGCUACUAACGUGCUA
rnacentral:rRNA from 1 species